rnacentral:rRNA from 1 species
AUUGAACGCUGGCGGCAGGCUUAACACAUGCAAGUCGAGCGAGCGGCGGACGGGUGAGUAAUGUCUGGGAAACUGCCUGACGGAGGGGGAUAACAACUGGAAACGGUAGAUAAUACCGCAUACCAUCAGAAGUGCUCAGAUGGGAUUAGCUAGUAGGUGUGGUAAUGGCUCACCUAGGCAACGAUCCCUAGCUGGUCUGAGAGGAUGACCAGCCACACUGGAACUGAGACACGGUCCAGACUCCUACGGGAGGCAGCGGUGGGGAUUAUUGCACAAUGGGCGCAAGCCUGAUGCAGACAUGCCGCGUGUGUGAAGAAGGCCUUCGGGUUGUAAAGCACUUUCAGCGAGGAGGCGUUACUCGCAGAAGAAGCACCGGCUAACUCCGUGCCAGCAGCCGCGGUAAUUC